GGUGCUGUAGUAUAGUGGUCAGUACGACACGUUGUGGAGGUUUCUUACAGAUCCGUGUAGACCUGGAUUCGAUUUCCAGCAGCGCCA